ACGGAAGGCAGCAGUGAGGAAUAUUGGUCAAUGGGCGGAAGCCUGAACCAGCCAAGUCGCGUGAGGGAAGACGGCCCUACGGGUUGUAAACCUCUUCUGCGCGGGGGUAAAGUCGGGGACGGGUCCCCGAUUGCAAGUACCGCGCGAAAAAGGAUCGGCUAACUCCGUGCCAGCAGCCGCGGUAAUACGGAGGAUCCGAGUGUUAUCCGGAUUUAUUGGGUUUAAAGGGUGCGCAGGCGGGAUGUCAAGUCAGUGGUGAAAUGGUGCGGCUCAACCGUAGCAUUGCCGUUGAAACUGGCGUCCUUGAGUGCGAAUGAGGUACGCGGAACGUGUCAUGUAGCGGUGAAAUGCAUAGAUAUGUCACAGAACCCCGAUUGCGAAGGCAGCUAACCAGCAUACAACUGACGCUGAGGCACGAAAGCGUGGGUAUCAAACAGGAUUAGAUACCCUGGUA
rnacentral:rRNA from 1 species